rnacentral:rRNA from 1 species
GAUGAACGCUAGCGAUAGGCUUAACACAUGCAAGUCGAGGGGCAGCACAAGGUAGCUUGCUAUCUGGGUGGCGACCGGCGCACGGGUGCGUAACGCGUAUGCAACUUGCCCUAUACAGGAGGAUAACCCGUCGAAAGACGGACUAAUACUGCGUAUGCUCACAACUUGGCAUCAAGUGGUGAGGAAAGAAAUUCGGUAUAGGAUAGGCAUGCGUCCCAUUAGCUUGUUGGUGAGGUAACGGCUCACCAAGGCAACGAUGGGUAGGGGAACUGAGAGGUUUAUCCCCCACACUGGUACUGAGACACGGACCAGACUCCUACGGGAGGCAGCAGUGAGGAAUAUUGGUCAAUGGGCGCGAGCCUGAACCAGCCAAGUCGCGUGAAGGAUGACUGUCUUAUGGAUUGUAAACUUCUUUUAUACGGGAAGAACAAGAGUCACGUGUGACUCCCUGCAUGUACCGUAUGAAUAAGCAUCGGCUAACUCCGUG